rnacentral:rRNA from 1 species
AUGCGUGCCUUCGUCCACGACGUGUCCCCGGGCCUGGCAAGCCUGGUGCGGCGCUUCGUCAACUUCGUCUUCGUCCGUCUACGCAUGCCCGACGCUGGCAACACCGGUGCGUGCCUUCGUCUACGAUGUGUCCCCGGGCUUGGCAAACCCGCCGCGACGCGUCGUCAACAACAACUUCUUCCCGGCGCACCACUACUUCGACACCACUGCGCCCAUGCUAACUCGGCGCUUCCUUGCGCCCGCGGCUCCACGGCGACUUCCUCGACACUGGCUACCCCGACUCGACAUCGACCACGGCAUUCUUUGCACGGCUACCUCGACACUCUCGGCUACAUCGACAUCGGCACAAAGGGCUAUCAUCCGCUUGAGCAACUCGUCGGCUUCCUCUACAGUCAACGUGUCCGCGACGCGACACCGUCCAUGACGCCCCCGCUACGACUGCGGGAGGAUGUCAGCCCGUCGGCUGCUAUUCUCUCCAGUCUGACCGUCCGCGACGCUCAUGUUGUUCGCAACGCUACCGCUACGACUGCGGGGGAUGUUAGAGAUAUAUUUGGGUUACAUGUAUUUGGUAGUUUAGGAUUCCUACCUAAUCUCUAG